UACGGAGGGGGCUAGCGUUGUUCGGAAUUACUGGGCGUAAAGCGCACGUAGGCGGCGAUCUAAGUCAGAGGUGAAAGCCCGGGGCUCAACCCCGGAAUAGCCUUUGAGACUGGAUUGCUAGAAUCCGGGAGAGGUGAGUGGAAUUCCGAGUGUAGAGGUGAAAUUCGUAGAUAUUCGGAAGAACACCAGUGGCGAAGGCGGCUCACUGGAUCGGCAUUGACGCUGAGGUGCGAAAGCGUGGGGAGCAAACAGG
rnacentral:rRNA from 1 species